rnacentral:misc_RNA from 1 species
UAGCUCCAGCUCCAGGACUUCUGAUGC